rnacentral:rRNA from 1 species
AUACGGAGGGUGCAAGCGUUACUCGGAAUCACUGGGCGUAAAGCGCGCGCAGGCGGCCAUUUAAGUUGGAUGUGAAAGCCUACGGCUCAACCGUAGAACUGCAUCCAAAACUAUUUGGCUAGAGUGUGGGAGAGGAAGAUGGAAUUAGUUGUGUAGGGGUAAAAUCCGUAGAGAUAACUAGGAAUACCAAAAGCGAAGGCAAUCUUCUGGAACAUUACUGACGCUGAGGCGCGAAAGCGUGGGGAGCAAACAGGAUUAGAAACCCGGGUAGUCC